rnacentral:misc_RNA from 1 species
GUGAGUCAUCGAAUCUUUGAACGCACAUUGCGCUCUCUGGUAUUCCGGGGAGCAUGCUCGUUUCAGAAUCAUUAACAUUCUCAAAGACACGGUAUGAACCUUCGGGUGACGCCGUUCCUCUUUCGGAUGUGAGCCUUCUUUGCUGCAAGGCAAUGGCUUGAAAAUGAUUGUGUUUGCAACCGGCUUUCUGGUUCGGUUCUCUCAAGUGCAACAGAUGUUAACUCAUUCGUUAUCUCUUGAUGGGAAACGCUUCCUUUGUCCGGAUGAUCUUACACUCAACCAACAUAUACCUUCAGUGAU